rnacentral:rRNA from 12 species
AUAACAAAAAAUACCAUUCCUGCGAGCGCCCAAUCCUGCCUGUUCUUGGAAACUAAGCAGGCCCGGGCCUGGUUAGUACUUGGAUGGGAGACUGCCUGGGAAUAUCAGGUCCUGUUCUA